AGUUAUAAAGCUACGUGGAAUAAGCAUGUGUUUUGAAAGCACAAAUAAAGGGGUUAAAACCCCCUAAUAACUU
rnacentral:tRNA from 1 species